CUACGAUUUGAGAGCCAUUUGAACAUUUAGGUCGGGAAUUUACCACAGUCCCCUAUAUUAAAAAUAAAGUACAUAAUAACGCGAAUACUUAUUUGCUCAUAAAUCAAUAUUUUUGACCAUUUAAUACAUAUUCAUUCCAAUGGCUUUCCAAUAUUAUUCAAUUUUUUAACCGUACCAUUAGCUAAACCGUAUAUUAUCUUUUCGGUGAUAUAUU